rnacentral:rRNA from 1 species
AUGAAGUCUAGCUUGCUAGACGGAUUAGUGGCGAACGGGUGAGUAAUGCUUAGGAAUCUGCCUAUUAGUGGGGGAUAACGUAGGGAAACUUACGCUAAUACCGCAUACGACCUACGGGUGAAAGGGGGCUUUUAGCUCUCGCUAUUAGAUGAGCCUAAGUCGGAUUAGCUGGUUGGUGGGGUAAAGGCCUACCAAGGCGACGAUCUGUAGCUGGUCUGAGAGGAUGAUCAGCCACACUGGGACUGAGACACGGCCCAGACUCCUACGGGAGGCAGCAGUGGGGAAUAUUGGACAAUGGGCGAAAGCCUGAUCCAGCCAUGCCGCGUGUGUGAAGAAGGCCUUUUGGUUGUAAAGCACUUUAAGUGGGGAGGAAAAGCUUAUGGUUAAUACCCAUAAGCCCUGACGUUACCCACAGAAUAAGCACCGGCUAACUCUGUGCCAGCAGCCGCGGUAAUACAGAGGGUGCAAGCGUUAAUCGGAAUUACUGGGCGUAAAGUGCGCGUAGGUGGUUAUUUAAGUCAGAUGUGAAAGCCCCGGGCUUAACCUGGGAACUGCAUCUGAUACUGGAUAACUAGAGUAGGUGAGAGGGGAGUAGAAUUCCAGGUGUAGCGGUGAAAUGCGUAGAGAUCUGGAGGAAUACCGAUGGCGAAGGCAGCUCCCUGGCAUCAUACUGACACUGAGGUGCGAAAGCGUGGGUAGCAAACAGGAUUAGAUACCCUGGUAGUCCACGCCGUAAACGAUGUCUACCAGUCGUUGGGUCUUUUAAAGACUUAGUGACGCAGUAACGCAAUAA